CAGAGUAGACAGAUGAGCGUUAAGUGCCGACGGAACGGGGAGUUGUCCGUCAGACGAAAAGAAUUUCUUGCGGUUCUUCUGUCGCAUCCCGCUG
rnacentral:ncRNA from 1 species